AACGCACAUUGCGCCCGCCAGUAUUCUGGCGGGCAUGCCUGUCCGAGCGUCAUUUCAACCCUCGGGCCCCCCCUUCACGGGGGCGCGCCCGGCGUUGGGGAACGGCCUACCGCCGUCCCCGAAAUACAGUGGCGGCCUCGCUGUGGCCCUCCCCUGCGCAGUAGCACAAGCUCGCAGAGGGAGCGCGGCGACGGCCCUGCCGUUAAACACCCCACUUCUGAAAAGUUGACCUCGGAUCAGGUAGGAAUACCCGCUGAACUUAA
rnacentral:misc_RNA from 1 species